CCCUGCUGUAGCAUUUUAAUCAGGGCUGGAAGCUAUUGUUGGAAACACCAUCCUCCAGGGCCCCAGGACAGGUGCAGAGUGGGGCAUCGGGACCUUUUCAGCCAGGCAGGCGAGGUCCCCAGGGUUCCAGAGUCAUAGAGAGCACUCAACCCACAAACACCCUCCCUCUGUCUGGUGGCAGGGAAGCAGGGAUGGAGAGGGGAAUGGCACCACCCUGGGCUUCCCUCCACGGAGCUGGCUAGCGGUUUUUUUCCAGCUGGGGCAUGGCUGGGGCUGGCUCUGCUGGGUACGCCAUCAAUUUUCCUUCUCGCACCAGGAGGAUUCUCUUUCCUGCCCCCCCCACCAUCACCCAGCGUCCUCCCCACUCCCCUGUGCCCGCUGGUGCUGAGGGGCAAACCGAAUCUGUUCGGGUGUCUGUGGAACAGGCUGUCAUAGAAGUUACUUGGACAACACCACCCACCCCUGGGGAGUGGGGUGAUGGGAACUUGCUUGGUGAUGACAACAAACAAACAAACACCUUCCCUUUCCCACUUCUCUCCCGGUAUUCCAGGCAGGAGGGAUAA
rnacentral:lncRNA from 1 species